GCAAUCAGGGACGAAUAGCUCAGUAAAACUGCGAUGAUUUAGUCUGGCUGUGUAGAUAACUACGUGAAAAUGUAGCUAAGGGAAGGCAGAAUAAGACGCAGGACUAUCAGUUAGUUGGUAGUGUAAUGGACUACCAAGACAGUGACGGUUGACGGGAAAUUAGGGUUUUGUACCGGAGAGGGAGCCUGAGAGAUUGCUCCCACGUCCAAGGACGGCAGCAGGCGCGAAAAUUGCCCACUCUUUGCAGGAGGCAGUUAUGAGACGUGAAGAUGAGUAUCUUGUAAAGAGGGAUAGGAGAAUUGGAGGGCAAGUUUGGUGCCAGCAGCCGCGGUAAUACCGACUCCAAGAGUGUGUAUGAGAGAUGCUGCAGUUAAAAAGUCCGUAGUCAUAGAAGGGCAAAGAGAGAUGCGAGGUCUCACAGUGCGAUGAUGGAGGAGCCGAUGGGGAACAUAGUAUACCAGGGCGAGAGAUGAAAAUGCCAAGACCCCUGGUGGACUUGAGCGAGGCGAAGGCGA
rnacentral:rRNA from 1 species